UACCAGCUUCUUUCAGCCAACCUACAGGCCCCUGCAACUCAAAUAUUCAGCAGAUGGUUGAGCUAUGUAAAUGCCAGAAUUACACAACUAUCUAUCAUACACUUGGAGGACUAGAGGCGAAAUCUCUGAUAAAAGACUGCAAUGUUCAUAUAAAAGGUAAAAUGUGUAAGUGAUAUGCAUGUUAUUUUUAAAUUAAAGAUUUUUUUUUUUUUUUUUGAAGCAGAUGAAGAGAAAGUUCUGAGAAAGUUAUGAGGAUGAACUGAAGAUUUUAGUGCUUAUCUUUCUUUACCGCUUUGAUUUUCUUCAGCACAGUUUUCACAUUGUAAAAGUAGGCUAAAUGGGAAGGUUGAAAUGAGUGUUGACCCGCAUCUGGUUGCUGUGAGAGAUAAGCCGUGCUGAACAGAAGCAAUGACAUGUUUAUGGCCAGGUGUUGAAGAGUGGACCGUACCAAAUUGCUCCCUAGAUAGAUGAUCUUGUCUUUUGAAGGCUGAAUCCAGUAUCCGACACCUGAUUUGUCUGGGUGAAGUGUUCCCCCUCAGCCACAAACAUGAAAUAUAUGCUCUGGGGUGAGCACUAUCCACUUUUAUUGAGGGACACACUCUUCCCAGUCUGCAUGAGUCUUUGGGUCAGAAGUCGCAGUCGGUUCAUCAAGGAUGUGGCGAUUGGUCGAUGUGGUAUUUGUUCUGCCCCUCCUCCACUGUGAUUGGUCAGCCGGGUAAAAAGUGACAAUGAUGAGUGCUGCGUUUUACCCAAAGUUGAACAUUUUUCAACUCUCAGCAUUUGGAAAAAAAUAUAGUUUAAAUCACUUUUUUCCCAUGUGAUGAAUGAUAAAAACUUUGACAGCCAAUCAGAAAACACCAGACUUUAAAGAGGUUGAGCAUUUAAAGUAUGUUUACUUUUGCAUCAACUAAUGCACCAAUAGAGUGACCAAUAGAAACAGGUCUUUCAUUAUGGUGCAUAUAGAUACAGUACCACCCACUGCUCUAGCUUAAUAUUUUAAUUUAAUUUUUUUUGUUUUGUUUGUAUAUUAUGUGCAAACUGUAUUUGCACAUAGUAUAUCGUAACAUUUUUAUUUUGAUGGUUCAACUUUAGACAUUCUAGCUAUAAGUAACUUUGCAAAUAUGUCAACUAACUCUCAUUAGAGUAUUAGUAAACAGUCUGAUUAAUAUUUGCUAACACUUUAUUUUGAUGGUCCCCCAACAGACAUUCUACUGACAAUAAGCACCUUUUCAAGUACACGUCAACUUAUUCUACCAUCUCUAACCUAACAGUCUACUAAUACUCUGAUUAAAGAUAGUUGACUUAUAGUUGCAAAGUUACACAGUUCUGUCAUGAAACUCUAGAUGGUGCUAGCUAAUAAAUCCUUAACUCAAUCUGCUUGCAGUCACAUCAUUCUCUUUAGGGCACAGCUGAUUGGUUCCUGCUGUAUCAGUAGCCAAUAAGCUUGCAUGCUCAACCAUUAAAAUACUUUGAUAGCAUUUUCUGUAGUUGCAGUGCGCUUUCAGAAACCCUCCACUUUCCCCAGCUCCAUCUGUAUCUACGGGUAAUUCAUGUAUGCAAUACUGUACAGCAGCAGCAUAUCUGUUUAUGUAUUUGCAGUAGCAAGUCCCGUACUUGCUCUGCAGCAGCAAUAACAGCAGCAGUGUAGCAGAUCUAUUCCGCCAAGACCAAACAUAUCAACAAUAUCAUAUUCAUUACCAUGCCAAACACUCUGAGAGUUGUCAUGACAGAAAUUAUAUAAUCUUAAAAAAUUCUAUCAUUGUUUACUUACCCCUAUGUCUGUCCAAAGUUGACAAUUUUGAAGAAUCUUUACGGAGCUCUUUUCCAUAAAAUGACUUUUCAUAGUCACCAUGUCUGUAAAGCUCCAAAACAUAAGUAGUCCAUAUGUCCAUCUGUCGCAGUGUACAACCAUGUAUAAUAAACUACCAUUCAUGAAGUGAAAAUGUGAUAUUUUACUCAAGAAGCGUUAGGAAUAAUGUAUGGUUAAAACACACACACACACACACACAAAAUCAUACACACAACUUUAUAUGAAUAAAAUACAACUUCAAACUUUCCGUGAGUGACUUCACUUUCACUGAUGGACGGCAAACAACAGUAGGUAAUUUGCCCUGCUAUUUUAAUUACAUUAAUUCCUAAAUUUCAGUCUAUAUUUUUAAUUGAAGGGGUGUCAAUUGCAAUAAACUGAAUUCAUUAAAUGAUUGUAACUCAGUUAGCUAUGAUGAAUAAUUAAGGCUUUUAAAAUUAAUAAUUCCACGAAUUAUAAAAACAAGAAUUUUAAGUUUUAAGUAUGUUUCUGCAACACUAGUGGCACCUAAUGCAGGGCCGGAUUUAUGCAUAGGCACCUGAUAGGCACGCUCAAUUACUAUGAGGAGAAAUAAUAUUUUUUUAAAUUAUUAUUUAUUCUAAUGGUAAAACAAUGUAAGACAAUUGCUAUAAUUAACAAAAUAUAAAUGUCGGGCAGAAACCUCUUAUCCAUUUCAUCUGUUUUCCAUAAAUCAUUACGUCUGUCUGUGGGGUUUGCGAAUAUUAACCAAUUAAACGUGUUAUAAAGAGCUCGUGACUAAACCUCUUAACUCAGUUGGAUCCUCAAACUGUUGGUCAAACCUCUUAUCUUGAAGUGCCGCACGCAGUUUGGAUUGUCUCUGCUUGUCUGCAAGGGUAAAAAAGAACUGGGUCUUUGAAUAAGUACUGUUAAACAUUGUUUGAGAAAGAUAGUGCAUGCUCAUUGUGAAAUACAUGUUGAACUUCAUCCUCCACUCCUUCAUUAGUAAAAGUAAUUGGGCUUUUUUGUUUGGUUUUGUUUUUGGAUCCUUUAUUAAUUUGAAUUUCUUCGCCACUCUACAACUAACCGGUUUGAUGACGCAUUAGUGAUACCGAAAGCUGAUUGGCCUUGAUGGUUAUAUAUGCGGGAGUUAAAAAUGAUGUCCGCUUUGUCCUCCCUUGUGUCUUUUUGCAUGCAUUUUCGAAAGAAGCAUGACUAUGGGAUUAGACUGUAAGUGCCUUACUAAGUAGACGCUUUUGCUCAAUUAUGAAUAAUGAAGAUUUUGGACACGAAUGAUUACACAGAUUAUAAUAAUAUUAAGAAUAACUGAUCAGAAAGAAUAAAUCUCAUAUGUAUUAAAGAAAACGUCAAAAUUAAGUUUGUAACAAUAAAUGUGUUUAGAUUCGAUGUGCGCUCGCUCGCUCUGCUUACGCAACUUUAGGUGUGCGUGCUUAUGAGCAAUUCAAAUGUUAUGAAUUCUGACUGCAUAUACAGUUUUAUUUUAUUGUUCGUUUUUAUUUUAGAAGGAGUUUUGAGCUUGAUUUCUUUUUUUUUUGGAGGAUUAUUUCUGAGGAGAGUUGUAUUUUAUUAUUUAUAUAUAUAUAUAUAUACACAUAUAUAUAUAUAUAUAAAUAUACACAUAUAUAUAUGCUGCCAGACCCGACCCAGACACUGAGCCAGGAGAUAUCUGGAUAUUUAACACCUCUGCCGUCAGAGUUUUCUGUUUUUGUGUCCACAGGUCAGGAUCACUGGAGGAGGAAGUGGCAGAGCGGCAGCCAGCAGAGCCCAGAUGAUGGACGUCCGUCCACUCCAUUUAAAAGGCUUGAUAAACGCUCUCACAGAGCCUCCGGCCACUCCAGAUCCACUCAGACAGAUUCUUCACCAGACAUCAUGUCCACAUCAUCUCUGUCCCUCUCUGAGGACAAUGUAGAGAGGCGGUCAUGCAGAGAGUUGAUGAGCCUCAGCAGCAGAGGCUCGUACAGCGUCAUAUGGAGGUGGAGUGGUGAUGGAUCAAAUCGCCCAUCAGAUUGGUUUUGUCUUCCAGAGGCUGUGGAAGGCUAUGAAGAGUCCUUUCGGCUGCUGUUUCCACAGUAGUGCUGUGGAUGUUGUGGAGCCUUUUGUCCCUCCAGCAGAUCUGUCACCUGCUCCAGAUAACUCCACCGUCAAGACAAAUAAUGAGUCCUUUGAGUCUCUCUAUAACGUGGGAGAGAUGAUUGGAUCUGGAGGAUUUGGCAGUGUACGAGGGAACACCCAGAUUUGAUGGCAAAAUGGUUGCCAUGAAGUAGAUGCGUAAGACUGACAACAAUCGUUAUCUUGAUAUUGUAAGGUGUAAAUGUAAUAGAAAAAUAAGCCUAGAAACACCAAAUGACCAAAAAAGACUCUGUUGAACGCAUCUGAAAAGAUCAAAGAAAAGUACAUUUAAAAAUGAUGUUUUCUUCAGAUUUUUACCCAGCUAACCUUCUGUCUACUACUUUUCAUUAGCCUGGGCAUCCCGAACCUCUCGUUACAGAAGUGGCGCUGCUGCUAAUAAUGAGGAAUACUGGAUUACUGCCCACCUGAAGUCUUGACAGAACCUCGAUUCAGUGCCGUCUCAGCGAAUGUCUGGUCUCUAGGAGUGCUGCUGUAUGAGAUGGUGAACACAUGUUCUCCUUUUCAGGAUAGAGCGGAAAUCACACAAGCCAAAGUUACAUUUCAGAACUCCAGCUUAUCCAAAGGAAAUAACAGACUUGCUGUCGUCGGUGGAGGGCUUGAACCCGAGACUUGACUGAAGCCUGAAGUCCAACCCCAACCUGACAGGAACUCAGAGCCGCUGCACCAGAGACUCAGAGCCUGUCCACGUCUGAGCAAGAACAUGAGAGAUGGCAAGACUGGAAAGAAGUCAUCAAGUCAUCACAUCUAUUUGCUUUUUUUUUUAAAAGUCAAGACAAGUCAUCUUUGUUUAUAUAGCGCUUUGGAGUAACUAGUUACAUGUAGUGGCAUUACGUAAUUUAAUUACAAAAUAAAUGUAACUGUAAUCCGUUACAGUUACUGAGAAAAAUGUGUAAUUAAAUUAGUCACUUAUGAAAAUGUUAAUGAUUACAAAGGGAGUUAUAUCUGAAAAAUUUCUGUAAACUAGGAUAUGUUGAAUAAUAUUAAUUUAUUGUUUGCCUGUUUUUGAUGUGCACGAUGCCUCCUGCCAUUUAAAGGCCAUUUAGUAAAGUGAUGCUAUUCUGA